AAGUAGUAUCAUAAUUGGUCGUUACUAAUUGUUUAUCAACAAUCUUAGUGAUGGAAUUUAGCUUCAGAAAAAAAAAAACAAGUACUAGUAGGCUAUUGAGAGGAAAAAUAAUGAGAAAAAAUUUCCAUUCAUGAGGAUAAGAGAAACCAACAAAAGAAGAACGAAUGACAAGGAAAUUUUCAAGCACAAGAGAAGAAAAAUCUUUGAGCCUCUUCAUUGCAUAAUUAUUAUUAUAUCGUUUUAGUUCUUCAAUGUAAAGGUAAACAAAUAAUCAUCCCUGUAAAACCCAAGUAUUAUUUAUUUUUUGCGUUAUUAGUCACAUUUAAUUCUUUCCCUCACCAACCCAUUUAUAUAAAUGAAACACACAAGUGUAGGUCAAGAGAGCACAUUACACACUUAUAAAUUAAAUAGCGAGAAAGAGGGAGCUUGGAAUUAUUAAUUAUAAACAAAUAACUUCUCAUCAUCAAUAUUCUUUUUUCUUUUUUUUUUUUUUGCCUAUCUCUUUUUAAAUGAUCUCCAUGAGGAAAACACAUACAAUCAAAUCAAUGAAAGCAACUAAAGCGUUAAGGGUAUCUCCACCCACCACAUUAAUCCCUGUAUUGUAAAAAUUAAAUAUUACAAAUAAUAAUAAUUCACAAAUACAAAAAAUAAUAAUAAUAAAGAAAGUAAAAAUAAAGACUGUAAAACAAAAUAAUACAAGGGAAAAAAAAACAAGUAGGUGAUAUACAUGCGCAUAUAGAGGAAAAAGAAAGAAUAACAAAUCAUGUUUUGCAUUUUACAAGACUUUUACGUACACAAAAUAUUAACAUUAUUACUUCACUUUCACUUGAUGAAUAUGAAAUAUAUAUCUAUGUAUAUAUGGAUAUGAAUUUGUCUUGUCAGUUGAUGCAUGUUCUCAAGGCUUUGGUGGCUCUGCAGCAGCUGGUUGGUCCUCCUUGGCGGCGGCAGGAAGAGGCUCAGUUGGGGCUGGGGCGGCGGCGGCUUCUGCCGGCUCAGUUUUCUCAGGGCCGGCGGGGGCCUCUUCUUUCUUCUCUUCCUCAACAACUACGUCGUCCUUCUCUGUGACUGCGGCGGUACUACUACUUGUUGUCUCUUGUUCUGGUUUUGUUUCUUCUCCUGCUGCCGCGGUUGCUGGCUCUGCUGCUUUUUCUUCAGUAACAAUAAACGUUGAGACCUUCUCAAAUAUGAAGAAAACUGGCCCCGGAACAGAGGCUGCCCCAAACUUUGACGAUGCUUCACUUACUGCUUUUGAUCCUGGAAACUCUGUAUAUACACACAUACAUAUAUAUUAAUAAAAAUCUCAUGUGAUUUAACACAUGACCUUAACUUUAAUUAAUAAUACCAUAUGUGAUAGAACUAUUUUACCGAUUUUAACGAGUUCUUCAAGUAACUUGUGCACAGCAGUGGAGUGCUUCUUAAGUCCAUCCUCCUUGCGAUCCUUGACCAGGGUCUGUAUUUUCAUUUAAACGCCAAAGCCAAAGCCAAAAAGAAAAAGGUUAAAUUAAUAAAUAAAAACUUGCAUGAAUUGGAUCUUUUUAAUUCUCUCUGACUUUUGUAGCUAUAACAGAUUUGGUAUGUUCAUUCAUGUAGAGACCUUGAUUUCAGCUGAAGAAGCUUCAUAGAUUUCGACCACUUUAGGUUGGAGCUCAGGCUUCUUCUCUUCAAACUCUUUUUUGAUUUGUUCCUACAAAACGAGCAUAUAUAGCAAGCUCAACAUAAUUGUUAAUUAAACAACAAGCAAAAUAAAAAAAAUAAAAAAAUUAUACAUAUGUACAUAUACAUAAAGACAACCUUUGAAUCAUCAAAGGACUUGCAAGCCUCAGCAGCAGCAGCUUUCUUGGUUCCGUUUUUCUCGAAAACUUUCUUGAUCCUUGGGAGGACCUUGGAUUUCCAGUACCCCAUCUUUCUUCUUUUUUCCAAUCAAAUGAGUCCCUCUGAAAGAAAAAUCUAAUCAACAAGCAAACAGCUAAAUAAAAUUUGUGGGGACCAAAUCAAAUUAAUAAAAAUUGAAAUAAUUAAAAAGAGAGAAACCUGAGUUGAGUUGGUGGCUUGGUGCAGCAAGCAGAAGUUUGCUAAAAGAAUCUGAAUAGCUAUGCACUCACUUCUUUUAACUCUCCUUCCUCUGGCUGUCUGUCUCUCCAAGGCUUCAAUAAAAGUCUACCUCAAUGCAACUGUUUUGAGCCAACCGUGUGUCCCUCCUAAUUUUAUGACCGUGGCAUCAUCGUAUACACAUUCAAUACCCAUUUUCUUUUUUCUUUUUUCUUUUUUUUAUUAAAAAAACCCUUUUGUUUCCUAAUUAUUUUCCAAAUAUACCCUUUUGAGUUUUAUAUAUCCAAUUUUAUGCCCGCCUUGCAAAUUUUUCUUUUUUUUUAGACACUCCCUCUCACUUUUAAAUUAGAGAAUUUUACGCAUAACUUUUUUGUUUAAAAAAAUUCUCAUGUUCGCCAACUCCCCCAUCAAUUUAUUUGUUAUACUUGAUUUGACAAUGAUUUCGAACAAUUAAGUGAUUAUUCAGUAAUUUUUUUUUAAAACAAGUUUAAAAAGAAAAAGAAACGUAUUCAAUUUGGUGUUUAAUGUAUUUUGGAAACUUUUUUUUUUGAAGUAUUAUUUUAAAAAAUAAUUUUCAUAAAAAAAACCCAUUAUUAAAAACAAUAUUAUUAAUGCCCCCGAUAGGCUUGAAAUAAGUGUAAAAUUCCAGGGGUAAAAUGGGGAGUGUGGAGAGCUGGCAAUCACUUCAAUCAAAGGUGGCAGAAUUAUCAUAAAGUGGGGCCAGUUCCAAUAGGUUUCUAAUACUGAUGUUGAUCUGUUCUCACAUGGCUUCGCUGGAGCAAUUUUCACAAUCAAAGCCGUCAAUUGACUAAUAAUUCUAUUUUCAAUUUUUUAAAAUAAUAAAAUAUUCCCCUAUGUUAUCCUAAAUUUUGAAAAUUCUAUUACAUGCUAGAACGUAGUUGCCAAAUUUUCGAUCUUUUCAAUAGCUUAUGCACUUGAAAAAAAUAAUAAUUGUUUGAGGGAAAUAUUUCGACGAGACCAGACGUGAUGAGCAGAUAUUGAGUAGUAGAGUUCUGGGAACAGGUGUGUUCUGUAAGAGCCUGGUAGCAGAGGAGCAGCAGCAAGAAUAUUCUGCUCGUCCACGAAUAUGCCAUUCAUGAGGAUGAACUCCUGUUAGAGGCAUAAGACCAUUCCUGCUAGGAGUCGAGGCGAGGAGACCCGGUCAACGACAGUUGGCAAGACGUACAUUCCUAUUCGAGAAUCAAGGCACGAAGUCCAUCUCCAUUCGCCCACAAUGACUACAAUGGGGCAUCCACAUCCGAGGGUGGGGAGAAUAAUGGGCGUGGACUACGGAAGACCGGGAUUCAGAGGAAGCCUAUAAAAAGGUAGCCAGCGAAGGUAAAAGGGUUAGACUUUUUGCUAUUAGAACUAAGAAAAGAAAGUUCCGAGAAUUGAGAUUAAAAAGAAGCCAUAAGAUUCGUGGCAAACAUUCCCAGGACCCCUAUUUCUGACUUGAGCAUCGGAGGGUUUGCGCCGGGAAAACAACCGGCGUACUCUGACUUGUCUGUGUGCGCAGGAACCUCUGGAGAAGAAGCUUUACGAGGAGAGAUCCUGGUCGUGGUGAAGUUGAUCGAGCAGAGACCCUGGUCGUAGAACGAGGACAACCAGAAUCUCGCAUCAACAAUAAUAAUAAUCAUAAGAGAAGCAGAAAAAAAAAAAUCCUAAGUAGUAUCCUUAGAUUGAGAUAAAAUUUCUGGUCCUACAUACACGACAUAAGACGCUCUUAACAUUUUUCAUAAUAUUCAUGCAACAAGAUAUCAUAUCGCUAGCUUGCAUGCACGUGGAGUGCUUAAUAAGUAUUUUGAAUUUAAGCAAAAACAGAGUAAGAAGACAAUAAAAAUGGAUUAAUGACUAUUUAUCAAAUCAAAAUAAAAAUUAUUCAUUUGGGUAUCUUGAGUUAACAAAGUUUGGACUAUUAUCGGGUUUGGUUUUUUGGUUAUUUUUUUUUUUUUUGGUUUUGACCACGAGGUAUCCUGGGGAGGGCCCCAACUGUGGGAGGCACCUUUAAGCCCGUACCACAACCCAGACUAUAAGUCCCCGCUCGAACCGAGAGGCACAUGUUCUCCCAACAAAGGCGACUUCCCUGCGACUCGAACUGGGGAGCAAACUCAGUCAAACCACACAAGGAGACUUCAUUGCCAGUGGAACCAACACUUUGUUGGUGUUUUUGGGUUAUUAUAUUACUUGCUUGUUGACGAUACCUUCAAUUAUGAUCGACAAUAACGCAUGGUUUUUAUAAAUUGGAAACGUAUGUGCUUCUUCUUCCUUUUUUUUUUUUUCUUCUGUGAAUGCAUAUGGAAUUUUAUUAAAAAAAAAAAAAGGAAAAAGAAACAAGACUACAGAUUUGUCGCGAUAUUUGAGAAGAUCCAAGAAUCUUCAUGCAGAUUUUUGUGUGGGGAAAAAAAAAAAAUUGUUAACACAUCCCAUUAACUAUAGCAGGAGCAAGUGAUGCCCAUGUAUCGUGUUUGUUGUAUGAUAAAUUCUUCAGGUGUUAACAGUGAAAAGACAAAAAAAUUUAAUUGUAUUGGAAGAAUGGGUGUCGACUGUCGACAUUAAUUCUGGCUACUUGGUCGAUUUUAUGACCAUGACCGUUUAUAUAUUUUUAUGAGCUUCUUAUCUGGCAAGUGAUGAAUUUCUUUCUUCUGUUCUUCUUUGGUGGGAAAGUUGAAUUUAAUGGUUACGAAACCUAGAAGAAAUAAUAACUACAAAAAAAAAAAAAAAAAAAAACCCUGCUUUCAAAGAUGCCUCAUUAUCCACAACCAAAGAUAUAUAUAUAUAAUUGGUGAAUUCGAAUUGUUUGUGUUGACUCAAAUUAUUAUUGAUCACAUGCUUUCCUUCAACACAUGCCUUCUAGAUAUUUCUUGAUAUUGGCUUUAAGAUACUAAAUCAAAACUCAUUAGAUGAGAAAGCAUAAUCCAAAACCUUGACAAUCUUUUUGAGAAUCUUGUAUUGAUAUUUUUGUUUUUUUUUCUUUUCUCUCUCACCAUCUCUCUUUUAAAUGGGGAGUAAAGUUGAGAUUAUUUGAACCUAUCAAUUUUCUCUUUACAUCAUAUUUUUAAUUAAGAAUUUUAUUAUCAAAAUAAUUCUAACAUAAUUACUUAUAAUUAACCCUUUCUUCUCUUUUCAUUCUUAAAUCUUCAAUUCUCAUUAAUUUAUUUACGUAUUUUAUUUUAUGGGUAAAUAAUUGGUUUUGUUAUCAUAAAGUAAAAUCCAUCGACAAACUUUUACCAACCAUGAAAUAGAGAUUAUGAUUUAAUAAAAAAGGUAAAAAAAAAGUUCAAAAGACAGUGAAUUUGAAAGUUUAGUUUGUAAAAUGUGAGGAUAGAGAGAAACUUUGCAAUUGUGAGGAGAGAGAGAAAGAGAUCAGUGAAAGGUGAAUUUGAGAUUUUUAAAUUUUAAAUCAUAAAUAAUAAAUGUAUUUUCUAAAAUGAGUUAAGAGAUAAAUUUGGUGAGUUCAAAUAGUUCUACUUAUUUUGUAAACGGGAAAAAAUAAAAAUUAUUAUUUAACCUUAAGAAAGCUUUUAAUUAAUUUGUUGGAGAUCAUAAAUUUCAUAAAAUGACAAUUUUUAAAAUACAUAAAAGAAAUUGUACUUAUUUUCCCAUGUAUGAAAUAAUAUUAGAAGUCUUGACUGAUAAAGGAAUUAAUAGAGUAGAAGAUAUUUAUAAUAGGAUAUCAGGUAUUAGACAACACCUUCUUUGAUUCAGUCAUUUAGGUUCACAAUGUCAAGUAUUAAAUUAACAACAGUACUUAUUAUAUUUAAAUAAAUUUUACAGUAUCGAGUAUUAAAUUAACAUUAAGAUUUAAAAUUAGCACUCUAUUAAAUCUUAUUUUUAACUAAAACAAUUACGACAAGAUUCUACAAUGGAUAUUUCAAAAUUGAGUUGCCAAUCUUGACAAUAUUCACUUUGCUUUAAAAUAAAGGCAUUUAUGGAUUAACAAAUAAAAAAAUUAUAAAAAUUAUAUAAAAAAAAAACUGUGGGCUAUGGCCUAGUUCCAAAUCAAAGUGCAUAUUUUAAUAAAAUUAUUUAAUAUCCAAAAUGUUUCAAUUACUUUCUUUCUCAUCUUUUUAUAUUUUAAUGCAUGUGUCAUUAGAAUAAUGUCCUUCCUAUAUGUACUAAUUUAUAAUAAAUAUGACAGAAAAAAAAUGUAAGCAAUUAUUAUUAAAAGAAAAAAGGAAAAUUAUUUUUGUAAUAGAAGUAGAUUAAUGAAUCUUCAUAUUGUGCAGAUUCACUUGCACAUAGGUAGUAUGAAAAUUAUGUACAUAGGAAAGAAGAACAUUUUGUUUUUUGGACUAUUCUGAACUUGAAAAUUAGGCAAAGUGGAGUUGGUACGAGCAAUUAGAAGGAAAAUUAAAAUUAGGGCAAGUUGAGAGGAUGAGGAUAGAGGUGACAACACAUGAAAUGGUGCAAGAUUACAAGUAGUCCAUUUCAAAAUUGCAUAAUUAAACAAGAAAAUGAACAUGACGUAGCAUUGCGUUUGAGUGCAAAACUCAAUUGAUAAUGAUAAGGACUCAUUCUCCCAUUGAAAAUGAAAGUGUAAUUAAUUUUAUAGCUUUCUCUAACCUUAUUUGCCUAUUCUAGUCCAACUUUAAUACGUUAACUUUUCUAACCUAAGCAUUUCAUUUGAUUUUGACAUUCCAUUUCUUUUUCUUAUUCAACUGAUCGUGCAUAUAAAAAUGAAUAGCGAUCGAGAGAUAAAAAUGCUACACGUAACAAAUUGUCCUAGUUUUGACAGAUAAAUUAGAGGCUUGUUUGUUCGAGUCUCUUGACCUAAUUGCCUGCCCUAUGUUAUUGUUCCCACUAAACUCUUUUGAGUUAAUAGAACUUUCAAAAGAUUAUUUCACAGAAUAUAAAAUUUGAGUACUUAAAUAUAAUCUUAAUCCUUUUCUGUUCGUGAAAUUUACCUGACAAAUUUUAAUAUCUGCUGUUGUAUUAGUUUGCUAAUUGAUUUUUUAGCUCAGAAGCCUGAAGGGUAGGCCCAAGUCCCCACAUAAUUUACUGGGCUCACCCGGUACCCGAACCAAGCCCACCCAUUUGUUUUUCUUUUUCAAAUCACUUUAUUAAUCAAUUGGCAUACCUGACCCGUGGCCUCACCCUGGAUACGAUCAACAAGAAAAUGUUUACGAUGCGGUUGGUGAGGCAAAUCCAACUAAUGAAUUGACAUCCUGUCUACGUACUGAAUAGACAAUAAUGGAUCAUUUUUCAAGUUACAUGUGCCAAAAUCUGAACAAACAUUUCUCAAAACUGCUUUACAAAUAAUAAUAAUAAUAACAAUGAUAAAUUGGAUGAAACUUGCACUGCAGCUCAUUCGUGGCUGAAAGUAGUAGCAUGUAGCAACUGGCAAAAGGUUUGCAUACACCGACAAGAAAAUAAGUUGUUCAAAACGAUUGUCACAAUUCAGAGAUAGGAACAGACCCACAUGAAGCGUGCCAUUGAUAAGCUUGGAAGCAAAUGCCAUUGCCAGAUCAGGGCCAGACAGCAAGCUCAUUAAUCUAAGCAUAUUUGAUUUUUGUUCUAUGUAACAACUAACAACACAAAGGAUUGGUAAGAAAUAACCGCCUUUCCCAAUCCAAGACAGCUCAAGUACUAGUGUUGGCUCGCCUGAUUCCCUCAGCUUUAAAAAACAUGGUGGGAUCUGACAGCUAAAAAGAAAAAGAAAAAGAAAAAGAAAAUAUAUGCAGACGAGAAGUAAUGAAGAAGCCCCCACUUGAUUUAGUUAUGCAAAGGCAAUGUUCUUGUUACAUUCUAAAUUGUACAAGCUUGUUUGAUUAGAAACUAAUGGUAUGAGCCAACAUCCAACAUCAUCACGAUGAAGCAGUAACAUUACUUAAAUUACCAGAUUACAACAUGCACAUCAAUCUUUGACUUGUGUUUCCAAUACCUUUACGCCAGCUCUUUUUCAUGACGGACUUUCAACAGUAAUAAGCUUCAGAUUCUAGUUUGCUGGCCAUAAAGAUCUUAUCCAUAUAGCCUUCAUGCUGUCCAGCUUGUGAUAGCUUAUGAACCGUAGAGAGAUCUUGUAGCUUCUCACUUGUUGAUCCAUUUGCAUAUCAGUCAAUGACAUAAUUUGGCGCCACGGCUAAUAUCCUGUCAUCUCUAGAUGGGCGCCCUUCACCUUCCGCUGCUGCUUGUCUACCAUCAUCCACCACUAUCAGAUGACCUUCCCUCCUAAUCAAACUCUGCAUUGCAAGUAUUUGAUUAUUUAAAAUAAUUAACAAAACAAUAUUAAGUUGAAAUAUGACAUUUGGAGCUUCGUUUAUCAGAAUUAAGAUGAGUACUAUCGUACCUCAAUAAUAGCUUUGAGUUUGGAAACUUCCUUUUUCACUUCCUCCAUAGAACUGUAGGUGUUUUUCUCAUUCUGUUGUUCCACAUACCAUUUUAUCAAAUCCUUCUGCCUCAUUCCAGCAAGUCCAGUCCCUGCAAGUGGCAAAAAGCUCAGAAAUUGCUUAAGAAAAAUGACUAUUAAUGGAUCAUGCAUGGUGGGAACAAGUCCUGGUGGUUAAUCAUGAAGCAGGGCUUCAGAUUCACCAGCUAGUGUCGACCAUCCAAGUGUGGUAAAAACUCAUAUUUGGAAGAAGAUUAACGGUUGUGCUAAAUUCUCUAUCUCCAAAGACCUUAUGUUUGAUAUAUUCAAACCAUUCACUUAUGAACAUGAAAGACCGAUGGUUCAGGAAGUUACCUUCUUGUAUUACAGAUUCUUCAUGCUGUCUAAGGCGCAUUACCAGGGCUUGGGUUACCCUCUGGAAAUAUUCAUCGCUUAUAACAAGUGUUUUCCCUUGUCGGUUCGCAGAACUGGCUCCAUUUCCUGGACAAUAAAAAGGCGAGGUUUUCCUUAAUUAAAAAUGGUCAUAUAAAAUAAAAUCGAAGGAAUUUAGGUGAUUGAAUCGCACCAGCUAUUCCAGAAGCCGGUUCAGGAGUCCUGUUCCUUGGUUGAGCAUCACCUUGAUCAUUGCCAUCAUUUCCAUCAUCACCGCCAUCACCAUCAUCACGAUUAUCUUCUUGAAACUCAGACAGAUCAAUCUCACUGGACUCCACACUGCAUGAAGAGACAAAUUACACAUCUUCACCAGUCAUUUAGAAGAGAGGAUAUUUGGCAUAAUUUCACUGGUACCGUACCUGAUUACAGAUGUUUUUAGCAGUCUUACUGCUACACGAACAUGACGCGGAUGUACCUGGAAGGAUAAUUUCAUGAAUAUAUGAUGACAAUGCAUAACAAUGAAAUAUGCAUAACAUAUUUCAUGAAUAUAUGUACCUGAGUUUCCAAAUGACUCCGAGCAAUGGCCUCAGACAACCUGAUCAAUGCUUCCAGCUGCCUAACUGUCAUACGAUAUGCAACUCUGCUCCCAGGAGUUGUAUCUCCCCUUCGGAGAGCAACAUAAGAGUCAACCAACAGUUUCCUGGCUUCCAAGCUUAGCUGAAUUAUAGAAUCGAUGUUAAAAAUAGGCAGUGCAAUAACAUAAAAUCUCAUUUUCAAGUCAAAAACCACAUCAUGAUCAUAGAAAGAUUAAACAGCCAACCUUUGGUUUUAAAGUUUUAGCAUAUGCAAUGUAACGCUUCAGCUGUGCAGUUGUGAAUGCUGGAGCUAGAGCAUCUUCAUGCUUCUGAUGCACUCUCACAAUGUGGUGAGCAAUAUGGUAAUCAGUUUGAUCAUCUGGAUCAUCGAUCAUUACAUAUACCAGAUCAAACCUGGAAAGAAUAGCAGGAGGCAGCGCAACAUUGUACUGGGGAAGAAAGAUAAAUCCAAAGUGAUCAGUUCACAAUGAGGACAUGAAAAAUUAUAGCACAAAUGCCUAGGAAAUCAGUUACAAUGGUACCAUAUUCCAAAGAUUCUCACCUUCAGUGGUUUCGACUUAUCAUAGCGCCCCCCUGCAGGAUUAGCAGCAGCUAGAAUUGAUGUUCGGGCAUUCAGUGUUGCUUGUAUACCUGCUUUUGUAAUGCUUAUUGUCUGCUGUUCCAUGGCUUCAUGAAUUGCAACCUUCAUAAGCAGUUGGAAAUCAAGUAUCAGCAUUGCAUGGCAAAUAAGAUCCUCCAAAUAGAACAGUAUAAAAAUUACCUGAUCCCUGAUGUCCAUCUUGUCAAAUUCAUCAAUGCAACAAAUACCAUUGUCAGCAAGCAUCAGUGCACCUGCCUGGAAAUAAACAACACACGUUUGUCACUGAACCUGAACAAGCAGAAAUUGUAUACUCAGAGGUACGUGGUUAAUAAGGAACUUAAAAGAAUAUGAUGGGAAAACACACAUCAGAAGAUUAGGGCUAAUCAGAAGUCAAUUAUUUCCGGUCUCCAAGGACAUAUCAUAACUCAACCUAACAAAAAGCAAUAGAACUGAAUGCUACCUCGAUACAGAAUUCCCCAGUUUCUGGUUCUUUGGCAACACUUGCAGUCAAGCCCGCCGCAGAGGAGGACUUGCCAGAUGUGUAGACAGAUCUAGGAACAAUACCAGCAGCAUAUCUGCAAGUGCAUUGACCAUCUAUUUAAGUUUUUCAAGCAGUAUAAACACCAGGAAUUGCUGUAUUAGAAACCAAAAACCCAAGGAACAAAUAAAAUGACAUACUUAAGGAACUGAGAUUUGGCACAGCUGGGAUCUCCAACUAUACAAACAUUAAUAUCUCCUCUCAGGUUGAUGCCUUCAUGAGUAAGCUUGUGAACACCACCCAAGAGCAUGAGCAGGAUUGCUCGCUUUAUAUCUUGAUGACCAAAAACAGUUGGGCCAAUGCUAUCAACUAUCUUAUUGAAGAAAUCAGGGGCAUUUCUCAUUCUUUGGAUUUCGUCUAUCUCUUCUGUCUGUCAGUUGAAAAUAAGUGAGUAGAGUUCUAGAAUUUGAUAUAGUUUCUAGGUUCACAAUAAAAAUCAAAAUUCAAUAUUGAGAAUCCUGAAAUCAUUAACACCAUCUGUGGUACACAUUCCGAACUCAUUAGUAACUUCCUAUCUGCAAAUUAUAUCUUUACUUUAAGCAGUUCCAAAAUUUAGUUAUGUAAAUCAAAUUCCCUCCAGACUUGGUUGAAUGGAAUUGUUAGAAGGAAAUAAUGUUAAAUAAGCCCAAAGUAAAGAAAUUGACAAUUUUUUUUUUCAGUAAAGUACAGAAAGACAUUAUAAAUAGAGAUUUGAAGUAGCAUGAAGUAGCUGUGAUUGAUAAUCAAACAAAUCUCUAGAAAAUGGGACUAUACUAAAGAAACUAGAAAUACUGCAUGUUGAACCCACCGUGAACUGAUGUUGGUCCUCUUCAUCGGCAUCCUUCUUCCUAUUUCUUAUGUCGGUAUCUCUUCUACCAUCAGCAAUCUAAAGAAACAAGCAAGCAUGAAACAUGAACUGCGUGAACAAACUCGUCACAUAAUCCAACUUGAAUUAUAAGCCACUGUAUCACCAACCUGAACUGAAUUGGCAAUGAAGGCAAGCCGGUAGGAAAGGUCUCUCACUCCCAAUGCUCGAAGACCUCUCACACCAUCAUGUCCAACGGCAGAGGACUUGCGUUGAGAAGCUUCUCGGCGACAUUCUGCUCUCUCCCCAGGAGAGCCCAUUGCCAAUAUGUCAGGUAUGACAACCACAGUACCAGUGAAAAUGACCCUGUUGGUGAAUAAAGAUUGGAGAUAUUAAUGACUUGCAAAUAUCUUAUGAUAUUUUCUAAGCGAGAACAAGUAACUAACAUUAACAUCUAUAGGAAAAAGAAAAUGAUACAUAUUGACUUAAUGGGGAUCUUACGUGUCUCCAGCUCUGGCUUGUUCGACAAUAUCAUGGCGGAGAAUAACAUCCAAUGACCUGGGCAAGGAUCCAGCUGGAAUCUCUUUGGAAGUCUCCUGCAUUCUCACCCUCUGCCAGUCAGCAAACUUGCUAUCUUGGCGUAGCAAUGCCCAAUUUGUCCUAUUGGAACAUGUUGCAUUCGCACAAAUUGUGGGCUGAAACCAAAGAAAUGCAACAACACAUCGAUUAUUGCCAGGCAGUUAAAAUUCACCCACAUAAACAUGUAAAAAUACUCAAGCAGGUUAACCUCAGUAUAUUUGAAUUGCUGCUCAACAUUCUUGAUGACUCCCCCACAUUCCAAGCACUUAAAGGUCCCUUGAAGUAGCUCAGGUCGAACUUCACUUGUUCGAGUCACCACUCCUGUAACUGACACCAGUCUCCCAAUUUCUGCCGUGGUCAACUCUCUCAAUCUGUGCUCAAGCAUUAUACACACAUACAAACAAUUCAUAACUAAUGCAAUUUUUCAUAAUCAUCAGAUAUUUAGUGUGUAAAUUUGAUUACCAAUGCCUGAAUUAAGAACAAUUGAAACGAUUAAAUAAUGAGCAUUAAAAAUUACCUCUUAGAGAAAGGGAUGUUGAAGAAAGCAACAUUGAUAUCCUUGUUAGGAUUAUCAUCAGAAAUGAAAUUGGGGUUUUGCUCCAUCACAAAUCUCUUGCAAGCAUUCUUCAAAUACGGUUCAAAUCUUAAAUACUCAUCGGCAAUGGCUUUUUGAAGAAGGUCAUUGUAUCGCAUAACGUGAGAGAAAUCGAUGAACAUGGUGUUGGAUUCGUUGGCUCUCAUGGCCUCGAUCUCGGCCUCGUAACACGACUCUCCGCCCAUGUUUCCAUCUAAUCUAAAACUGCCCAGAUCAUCGUUUGGAGCGAAAAUCAACACCCAUUUAACAAAAACUACAAUUUUAAAUGAAAAAAAUGGUUAGGGAUUUAGGGAAGCCUACCUCUUUAGAAAUUCCAAGAAAAUAUUUUCAACUCUCACUGCUUUUUCGUCAACCAAGAUUCCACCAAACGCCUCCAUUUUUUCUUUGUUGUACGAUGUUUCGGAAGCUGCAGUCGUCACGCGAUUUGGAACCCUAAUUUCCAACUGUAAACACUUCGUCUUGUUUGUGCUUGUCGGUCUCUCCGUGGCGGGAAAAUCGUCAAUGCUUUCCCGCCAAGACAAAAAAAAAAAGAAAAAGGAACCGUUAGGGCCUUUUGGGUUACGGGUAAUGGGCUUGAUCGUCAUUUGCUUCGCAAGUUUCAGUUUUGCAAUUUUAUUUUUAAAGUUUUUUUUAGGCAAAAAUAUUAAAAAAAUAAUAAUAAAUGUUUUAAUUAAAAAAAUUAACCUAAUUUCACAUUUUCAACCUAAUAUUAUGCCAUUUAAGAUUAGUUUCAAUGACGGACUCUCUUGCGUAAUCACAUAAUUUCCCCUCAUCGCAUGUUGAGCUUUUAGGUAUCCAAAAAUCAAUAUAGAUUUGGGCUUUUCUUCGAUGGUGUCAUAAAAAAUAAUAAUAAUAAUAACAACUUUUUUUAAAAAGUAUGUAAAUAUUGAAAACUAAGUUCUCUUUUUUUUUUUUUCAUAAUAUUGAAGAUCAAAAUGGUAGGAGAGGCCAAAAAAUUAAUUUACAGUUUACUUCCAAAUAAAUAAAGAAAAAUUAAAGGUUGAAUCUCAUAACUCUUUUAUCAGUGAAAAAAAAAUUGAAGAGUUAAAUGAGUUGACACCAACAAAUAGGGAGAAAAAUUUUUACAUGCUAGUUCUAAAAUCUUAACUCGCUGAGGUGGGAAGAUCAACCACUUAGAUUCAAUUAUUUAGUAAAAUAAUGAGCCUCGUGGUGAGAUUCUAAAUGAGAUUCUCUUAAAAUUGAAUAUAAAAUAAUAAUAAGAAGAAGAAGAAGACUAUUUUACCAAUUAAUUGAAUCUCAUUGACUGAUCCUUAACACCUCAAUUUUACAAGAUGAUAGGACUAUCCUAUACAAAUCUCUCUCACAAAUACAUAGGGUUAUAUAUAUUGCAUACUAUCUCCUAUAAGUCAUGCAUGACCCUAGGAUAAGCAUCGAAAAAAAGAAGAUUUUUUAGAAAAUAUAAUGGCACAAAUUGUUGACGAUACCCGAUGUUCCUACGAGAUAAAACUAAUUGGCAGUGCAUAAGAUAAACUUGUGAUGGAUUUGGCCCAUGUGUGUACAAAUAUGGCCUCAUUAUUCAAACCCAGACCUAAGUUUCAAGGCCCAAUGGCUCAAUUCUGUAAAAUUAAUAAGUGAAAACACACAGAUGUACGCAAAUUGCAAAGCUUAAUGCAGACCACUGUGUAUGCAUGUGUACGUGUAUUGUAUGUAAUGCUAUAUUUGGAUAAAAGGAUAAUUUUCACUUUUUUUUUCUUUUUCUUUUUAAUGAAAAGUACCAUUUUCAUUCAUUCAACAUUUCAACUAUGCAACCACUUGGGCUUAGCCCAAGUGGCCAGAGUCACUCCCUCACAAAUGUGAGGGAAGUGGUUCGAGCCUCUGCAAACGCAUUGUAGGGGUUUGAUUUCAAUUUCCUUCAUUGGAGCCCCAGAGCUUGAGUGAAGGCAGUCUUUCUCCCAGAAUGGGAGUUGACGUCCCUCGAAUAUUUGAGAGGGUUAAAAAAUCUGAGCGGUGCCAUAUCAGAAUUGAUGUAAACGAGUCUCAGUAUAUAUAUGAUUGUAAAUGUCAUCAUGAGCAAUAGUUCUCAUUCAAAAAAAAAAAAAAAAAAAAAACAUUUCAACUAUGCGAAUAUUGACAUAAUCUCAGCUGAAAAUGAGUCCCGCCAAAUGUUUGUACCUUGUCUAUCAAGUGCUAUCUUAGUUAGUGAAUGAGCUACAACAUUACACUCUCUUGGAUUAUAUAAAAUAUCAACAAAAUUUGUGCAAAUGAAGUUUUCUUUGAUCUCCUAAAUUAAGGUUGCAUUUGAAAUUGAGUUUGAACAACUGUAGGGUAACAAUAUAAUAUUAAAGUGUUUGGUAAAGACUAACUAUUAUAAUUUGGAAGCUAAAUUAAUUAAUUUUAUACUUGUAUGAUGAACGAUCUAUUAUUAUUAUUUAUUAAUUUUGUUAAAUUUAUUAUUUAAAAAUUAUAUUUACUAUAUAUUAUUAAUUUUUAUUUCAUAAUUAUAGUUUUUUUUUCAGUAGUUGUUCCUAAAAAACUACAGCACCUCAAUAUCAAAUAAAACCCUUUGUUUUUAUUUAAAUUUUGACUGUACAUAUCCUUUUUCUUUUUAAAAUCUUGUACAUGAAAAAUUACACUUUAGUUUUUUUAAUUUAAAAAACAAUAAGGUCCAACAAUUUGGAUCAAAAUGGGGUAAAUUAUCCAUUUUUACCGAUUCAAUACAUUUGUUUUUUGGGCAAAACAAAUUAUUUUUAAAACCAAACACAUGAAUAAUAAAUUCUGAGUGCCAUUUUAAUCUGUUGUGUAUAUACAAAGUGAGUAGAGGUCAAGACUUUGCCAAUUUUACCCAUAAUAAUUGACUGAGCAUAUUAAAUAAAUGGUUGGGUUGUCCCAUUAAUUUGUCUACUAUAGAUAAAUAUCAAUAUAUAGAUUAAAAAAAAUAACCAUUCAUUAUUACAAAUAUCAAUAUGGGCAUUAUUACGAGUAAAAAUAGAAAAUACAACCACCAUAAUCUGAUUCAAAUCAUGAAUUUAAUUCACUUGUUCAAAAUCUUAAAUGGUAAUCCAGCCUAAGGCUAGACUUGCCCAGCUAGAUGCAUUAAUAUUUAUGAGCAAAAUCUUGGCAGAUAUUAUCUAAUAUUGGUUGUGUUACUAAUUUUAGAAUUAUUCUCCCUACCAGCUCUAAAUCAUCAAUUCUCUCUUAAUUGGUCUAAGAGUUCGUUUGGGAGUGUGGUGAGAUAAUUGAGCUGUCAAAGCCCAGCUACUAAGGUGUUUGGUAACACUUGUAAGUUGUAACUGGGCCUUUGACAACUUAGUAAAUUUUUUUUUUCAACUUAUACUCCACAGUUAUAACUUUUACUCCAUAGCAGUUUAAAAGUUACAGCACUUUAUUUUCAAACACACCCGAAAACAUUGUUUUAAAUAGUGCACAACAAACGAAUCAAAGAGGAAUUUGUUACAUAAUAAAAGGGAAAAGAAAAAACCAUUUUCAUAAUUUUUAAUUAGUUCAAAAAUAAUAUUUUUGAAAGUCACACCAAACAUAUCAUAAAAGCAAACCUGUUUUGGGCAUACAUUAUUUCUAAAUAUACAUGUGUUAGAAAACAAUCAUCGGAAAAGAAAAAUAGUUUUGAAAAAAAAAAUGAAGCAAGAAAAAGAAAAUAAAAACAAAAACAAUGAGUGUGUUAAGUAAAAUGAACUAGGGGUGUUCAGAAUCCAAUGCGAUCCGUUCAAUCCGUCUGAUUCGUAGAAAUCCGAUUCGUGGAUUGAUGGAUUGGAUUGGAUUGAAAAUUUAAUAAUCCGCAAUCGGUGGAUUGGAUUUGGAUUUACAUCUGUAAAUCCCUAAAAAUCCGUGAAUCCGUAAAAAAAAUUAUUUAAUUAAAAAAUAAAACUUGUAAAUAUGACAUUAGUACUUACUAGUAAAUAAAGAAGUUAAAAUAUAGUUACAAUAACACUAUAUUAUAUCUUAUCUGAUAAUAAUAUAAAAUAAAAAAAUAUAGCUUCCAAAAUAGUUAAUUUCCAUAUAUUGGUCUAAAUGAAUGAGAUUUUUGUCUUUUUGGUGCAUUAUAUUUUGAAACUUUAAAUGUAUUUUCUAGCUUUAUUUAAACAAUUAAUUUAUUUAAAUCUUAUUUAAUUUUAAAUUUGAUUGGUAGUAAAAUUAUUUUUAAUUAAUUUUAUUUAUUUAGUUAGUUCGUGCAUUGGACAAAAUUAAAAAUUUUCAGUUCGCAAAUUAAUCCGUAAAAUGGCGAAUUGGAUAUGGAUUGGGUCGAAUCCGCAUCCGAUCCACAGACAUAUGGAUUAGAUUUGAAUUGCAUUUCACCGAUCCGUGGAUUGGAUUGGAUUAAAAAUUUAUAAUCCGUAAAAUCAUAGAUCGAAUAUGAAUUGAUAUCCAAUCCGUAAAAUCCGAUCCACAAAAUGAACCACGGCGGGCAAAGCUGGCAACGCAUGCUAGAAAUAAAAAAAGGAGGGACACUUGCGAGAGACCCGCUUAACUAAAAACCGAAACGCUCGGCAUUUGUCAAUGCCGCUGCCGUGACAAUGCAUCAUGAUUCAUGCAUCAUUCAUUAACUUUGUGUUGUAUAUAUAAAUUUAUGAAGAAGAAGAAGAUAAAGCAAAAGAAAGAGAAACAGAAACAGUCAAAGUAACCGUUUCAAUUUCACAACUCUCUCUACAUCUGUAGUUGCCAUUUUCUAACAACUGCCAUUUGUCUACGUUUCCACUUAUUCUUCUCCUUUUCUCUCUCUCCAUUAAGCACUCUACUAAAUUCACGAAUAUAUCAUGUCAUCUUCCAUCUUAUAAUCAUGCCCACCAUCCACAAUGUACCCAUCAAUCUUGUCAGUAUAUACAUAUUCAAACUUCAUAUUAUCUUUUCUCUAAUCUGUACUUAUAGAUUUUCCUUGUUACAUAGAUUAUAAGCACCUAGUGUCCAUCAUCCAUCCAAUAUUUAUGUGCAAUGUCGAUUCCACUAAAAUAAUCUCCCUCUCUCUUUUAAUUUUCCUUAAAUGAGAUGAUGGAUGGGGAUGCAAUUAAAGAAAAAAGCUUAUCUUAGAAAAUCAAACUCAUUGAUAAUGAUUGGAUAUUUGGCUAAAGCCUAAAUCAAGCCGCCAACCAACCGAAAUGACCAUCACUAAACUCAAACAAACCUCUCCCUUAUCGGCCGAAAGGUCCAUCGAGACCCCACGAUUUUAGCAUAUAAUAACCCCACCUUUUGGCUUAAAUAAGGUUGCUAAUUAAUUAUUAAUUACAACAAAAUCUUGAAAAGAAAAGAAAAGCAAAUAUAUGCAAAAGCACAUCAUCAUCAUCAUCAUCCAGCUUCAUCAAUUUCACUGAUCCCUUUAUAUUAGUGAAACCACUUAGAACAAAAACAAGCCCCACAACCACAACCGAAACACAAGUGCAAAAUUCCUCUUCUCCCUCCUCUCCCAUUCAUAGAGAUGAACAAGACCGCAACAGCAACAACACCACCAACAAGAACCCAGUUGCAUGGACAAGGAGUAGAGGACCAAAAGGCCAAGACAAGCAAGAGCUAUCUCGUUCUCUUGGUCACCAACUAUCUCUGCCUCUUUGUAGGCUCAGUCUCAGCAAGCUUGCUCUCAAAGUACUACUUCAAUCACAAAGGCUCAAGCCGUUGGGUCUCCACUUGGGUUCAAUGCGCUGGCUUUCCUCUACUCCUCCCACCAAUCUUCCUCCCUUAUUACCCCUUCAAGUGCACGGAGCGACGUCCAUUCUCACACUUCACUACCAAGGUCCUCACCUUGUCAAUCUUGGUAGGCCUCCUCUUAGGCUUAAACAAUCUUCUCUUCUCUUGGGGUAACUCAUAUUUGCCGGUCUCAACUUCAGCCCUCCUCUUAUCAUCUCAGCUCCUAUUCAACCUCGUUUUCUCAGUCAUAAUAGUAAAGCAAAAAAUCACCUUCUCAAAUCUCAACUGUGUUAUUCUUUUAACCCUAAGCUCAGUGCUCUUAGCCCUAGGCUCGGGCCAUGACAAGUCUCCUGACUUGCCCAAAUCGAAAUAUUUCAUAGGGUUUUUUUGCACUGUUGGUGCUGGCUUGUUAUUUGCUUUGUAUUUGCCAGUCAUGGAGAUGAUUUACAAGAAAGUUUACUGCUACUCAAUGGUGAUGGAAAUGCAGCUGGUGAUGGAGAUUGCCGCCACGGCGUUGGCCACCGUCGGGAUGGCGUCGGACGGCGGGUAUCCGGAGAUGAAGAGAGAGGCACAGACGGUUUACGACAAAGGGCCGGUGGUUUACUGCCUGACGAUUAUCGGCAAUGUGGUGACUUGGCAGCUUUGCUUCAUGGGUACUGCGGGGAUGGUGUUCCUGACGUCGUCGUUGACGGGAGGGAUCAGCAUGACUGCGAUUUUGGCCAUGAACGUUAUCGCCGGGGUCGUGGUUUACGGCGACAGUUUUGGCGGCGUUAAGGCUGUUUCGACUGUGCUUUGUGCUUGGGGCUUUUGCUCUUAUGUGUAUGGCAUGUAUGUGAAAUUGAAAUUGCAAGAGAAAGAGAAAUUCGGAGAAGCAGAGAAAGUGGAGAGUCAGAAAGAGAUGGUUCAGAUUAAUGUCACAACAGCAGCAGCUGAUGCAUCAGUUUGAUUAUGUAUAAUAUAUUAUAUCAUAUCAUAUGUGAUGGUGAUUUUGAUUUUGGUUUUGAUGACUGGAUAUGUAAAUUAGAUAUAUAUCGACGUUAUAAUAUUAAUGUUAUCCUUUUGUUAGUUCUAUAUAUGAUUCUUGUCAAACUUAAAUUGAAGGUACGUGCAAAGCAGCUCAAACUAAUUUUUUAAUACUUGAUACGUUAUUCGAAUACAGAAGUGUCAAUCUUAAAAAUUUAAUUAAAAACCACUCACCCACUAAUCUUCUUUGAAUUAACUAUAGAGAGUGCGUGAUAUGAUAAUUCGAAGGGAUAAGGGAUAUGACUGUUUGAAAUCAUAGCCCAUUCAUGUUAUCAACAUCAUUAUCAUUAGUAAACUAGAUAUAAGUUGAUUAAUAAAUACAGCGAAUAAACUGGAAGGGUUUCUGAAUAAAUAUAGAUCCAUUGAAGGUGACCAUAUGACUGCUCACCAACUCAAGUUAAUUUAUUAUAUAUUAUCAUUUAUUUAUUUUAUUUUUGGUGAGAAUAUGAAGGGAGGAAAGAAAAAUAAAAUUAUUCUGACACUAGGUAUCCAUUUUGCUUAAUAUAUAAAUAAAAAUAAUUUCAUAUGUUAAACCUAGGAUGACAAAUUAAGAAUCACACAAUUUAUUUAGAAAAGCAUAUCGUCCAACCGGACCACGAAGUCAAUAGUUUUGAAAGCAAACUUAACCAUAACGUGAGCCGCUAGACAACAUAUUUCUACAAAGUCUGCAUUAAUUUGAUAAACUUUACUAUUAAAGAAUUGUAUGACAGUGCAUCAUGAUUCAUGCCUGUAAUGAAACAUCUGCACUGGUGUCUUUUUAUUUUCCAAAGUUUUGUCAUUUAUGUCGAAAAUCAUUAAUUUUUGUAGGAAAAUGAAAAUAUAAAACAUUUAUAGGAAUUUGAAUCAAACUAAUUACUACAAGAACAUGGUAAAAGAAUUAAAAGUGAGAGAGGAGAGUAAAUUAAUUGGAAAAAAGAUUUUCUCUCUUUUUUUUUUCCUUCUCAUAAUCUCUCCUAACCAGUGAAAUAAAUGGUCAAGAACUCAAGAUUAAAUUUUAAAUUUUGAUAUUGACAAUUAAGCCAAGUUUUUUCGCUUUAUUUAUAAGUAAUUCAACUUUUCCACUAGACUUAGAAGACUAAAUGAGACAAUGAGAGAAAAAUAAUAGGAGAGAAUUCUAAUACUAAAUGAAUUAAAUUACAUGUACUUCAAAAAAUAAAAAUUACGUGCACAAACUCAAUUAUACUAAAUAUAUUGCAUAAUAUACCCUUUUAAGUUCUUUCUCUUAUUAUAGAAGUUCCAAAUAAUUUUCUAUGGACAAAUUUCUAUGACUAUUUUUGAUAUAUGUAGUUUUAAUUUAUAAGAUAAUGGCGUCAAAAUUCUUAUAUAUAUAUAAGAGAGUAGAGACCGAAGGUUUGAAACGAAGCUAAAACAUAAACAUAUAAUGUUAGGAGCAGCAAAAUGAACAACGAAUUGAUUUCAAAUCGAAUUAUAAAUGAAUUGUGUCAAAACUCUGUUGAUUCGAAUUCAAUUCGUUUAUGAAACAAAUAUUCUGUUUGAUUCAUUUACUAUUCAUUUAUCCUAUAACAAAUCCAUAAUGAAUCAAAUCGAAUAUGAAUUUGUUCACAAAAAUAUAAUUAGUAAACUAAUAUUAAGCAAAAUAAAUAUAAAAAGACCACAAAUUUAAAAUCCUAUAAAAUACAAAUUUAUUAUAAUUUAUAAUUACAAUAUUAGCCUUCAAACUUUAAAAAUUUCCGUACAUAUUUAAAGAUAAAUAAGUAAUUUAAUUAAACAAAAAAUUUAUGAACUUCAAACGAAUGAAUCAUAUUUGAUUCGUUUAUAACUCAUUUAUUAAACAAAUCCAAAACAAAUAAAUGAAUCAAUGUCCUCAAAUCUGGAUUCAAUUUGUUUAGUUAGCGGAUCAAAUUGAAUUCUCCCAUUUAUUAAAAGAAUCAAUUUUUUUUCAAACAUAAAUCCAUUUAAUUCACAUCGAAUCAAAUCGAAUAAACUAAUUUUGACCCAAAUUGUCACCUCUAGAUAACGCACAUGUAUCCCUAAUAAAUUAUCAUAAAAUCAUCUUAAAAUUAUAUAAUUGAAUUAUAGUUCUCAAUUGUAAGAUCAUCUUAACAUGGACCGGUUAUCAGUUUUCUAAUUUUCUGUGUAAUUUUUUAUUUUAGCUUGAUGAUUUCAUUCAAAUUUUUGUCUAGAACAAUGUACUGAAGAUAUAUUUAAUUUAGGCAACUUUUGGUUUGGGGGGAAAAAAAAGCUUUUGUUUAUUAUAUCCAUUGUUUCUACUAAAUGAAAAUGAUAAUUAAUCUUAAAUUGACAUUUCGCACUAAGUGCCACGUGCUACGUCCUUGUUUUCAAUAUAAAGAAAAUUUCUAAUUAGAAUAAUUUAAUACAUAAUUAGAGGACCAAGCUAAUGUAAUUUAUUAAUCUUUCAUCAUCCAUCAACAAAUUUUGUCCGCAUACGAAACAAAAUGAAGCACAUUGUUUGUUGUCCAUUACUUAAAAAAUUGAAAUUUAAUUUAUUUGUAGCUACACUAAUGGUGAUGUAACAAGGCAUUAAUGUGUGGAUUUUGAUUAAGCUUGUCUCCAUGAUACCUUUUUUAAGUAAGAACAAGUUAAUUUGGUGGGCGUCUGUGUGUUUACUUAUGACUUGAGUCUUUCUUUAAUGUAAGUGGUGGGUCAAUUAAUAAAGAGAAAGCUACAAAUAAUAAUAUUGAAAAUUAAUCAAUAAUAAUUAAAACUCUAAAUUCUAAAAUCCAAUGGAGAAAGAGAGAGGUGGAUCUUCAUUGGUAGGGUAGAAACGUUGGAUAUUCUUUUGUUUAAUUACUUAAAGAUUUUACAGAAAAAAAAGUAUUACAAAAAUAUAUUAUCUUAAUUUUGGCUCAUACAUGCAUAGCUUUAAGAUUUUCCAAAUCUUGGCGAAACCUUGGAUAGUCCUAGUGAAAUUGUAACUCUAAUUAAUUGUCUUUUUUAAACCAAAUUACAGGAGAAAUGAGAUGCCGUUUAUGUCAUUAGAUGGGAUUAUAGUGAACCUUUUAUUGCAUGAAACUUUAAAUAUAUAAAAUCAUGAAGUACGUGGGUCUUGCAUGCUUAAAAAGUGUUUAUAUUAUGUAUUUUAUGUACGUGGAUGGACAUAUCAAUAUAUAAACCAGAAGAUACAAAUGGCUGUCUAGUCAGCUAUGCCAUUUUUACUUAUAUUAUUAUUAAAAAACAAAAAAAAAUACAAUUAACAACUAGUGGGAAGAAAAAAAAAGUACAAAAUACAACGGUCUAUCAAUAAAACCAAUUACUAAAAAUAACUAUUGAGGGUAAUAUAUAAAUGAUUACAGCAUAAUUUUUUCUGAUUGAAAUAUACACAUGUUCUUUCAAUAUGUCAAAAGCAUGUCGGCAUUUCAAAUUUUUACUUAUUAAAUUAAGGGUCUAAUUGCAUUGAACUUUACAUGUGUGUUUUUUUUUAUUGUAUUCAAAUUAUUUACUAAAUUUUUACUCUAAGAUAUUAAAUAGGUGAAUAUAAUACAUACAUCCAUUUUUCCAUUUUUUUUUUAAACCAUCCGGUUUUUGGUGAUCACAUUGGACCCUGAUUAAUUCGAAUUCGGGGUGUAGUCACAGUUAAAACUCCUUAUCCCUCCCAAAUGAUGUAUUUAGUAUAAAUUGAACCCAAGAACUCUUCGCACAAACCCAGCCUACAUUACCAACUGAGCCGCCACAACCAUUUGGUAUAUACAUACACCCCCUUUAAUUUGGUCUUAAAAUAUAUUACUCAAAUGAUCAUAAUUAUAGAGAAAGGACUAAAGGAAUACCUCUUUAAUGCUUUGUCUUCUUUAUUUUUAUUCUUUUCCUCUUUAGAAGGCAGAGCUUAUGUUACAUCAGCUGUAAGUUACAGCUAUAAAUUUUUGAAUCCUAAAAAAAGUUAAUAAUUAUGAAAAAGUCAAUAAAUUUUAAAGUUUUGUUUUAAACCCCAAACUACACUGCAAUAGUACUUCAAUUUGUUUAAGUUUUUUAUUUAUAUUUAUAGCAAAUUCAGUACCAAGUUUUUAUUUUAUCUAAUUGAAUCUCUAACUUGUUUAAUCUUAUAUUUAUUAAUUUUUUAUUUAUUAUAUUAACAAUUUCUUACUUUAAUAUAUCAUUAUCUUCAAUGUGAAGUUUUUUAUUAAUUGUUUAACCUUAUUAAAUUUUUUACUCAUUUGAUCUCCUAACUUUUUAAUUUGUUUGAUGUUUUCUUCAUUAAAAUUAUUAAUUUCUAAUAUUUUGUUUACUUUUUCUAUGUCAUUUAUAAAUAAAUUUGGGUUUCCUAAUUUAUUUAAUAAAUAUAGUGAAAUUCAAUUUAAUUGAUUAUUUUCCUGCAUGUACAAAUCAUUGAUCAGAUUAGAGGAUUAAAAUCUUUCGUAAGAAAAUCCUCUUUGUAUAUAGCUACAAUGUGGUAUCGUUUGCUUUUUCUAAAUCAUUUAUAAAUAAAUUUGAGUUUCCUAAUUUAUUUAAUAAAUAUAGUGAAAAUCAAUUUAAUUGAUUAUUUUCCCACAUAUCUGAAUCAUUGAUCGGAUCAAAGAAUUAAAUUCUUUCAUAAGAAAAUCCUCUUUGUAUGUAGUUAGAAUGUGGUAACUCAAUAAUUUAUAUAUUUUGUAAAAUUAUUAGAGAUUCUAAUGAUUUAUUCAUUGUAACAUCUUUUUAGUAAUUUAUUAGAGUCAUAACAUAUUUAUGACAUAUAAUAUCUCUUAUAAUCCAAGAUGCUAAAUAUAAAUUUUAUAUACAUACAUACAUACAUAUAAUCUAGUUUAUUCUUAGGAGAGAUAAGAAAUUAUAAAUGCAGAUAAAAAUAUAUAUUCAAAAUUUGUAAAUAUUUAUGAAUAUGAUAAUUAUUUAGAUCUUUAUAAAAAUAUAGUAAAAACUUUAAAAAUUUUUAAGAAUAAAUGUAGAAGAGAUGGUUAACAAAGUCAUUUAGUUAUACAAAAUUAAUGAGGACUUACUUGAAAAAAUAAACAAAUAUGUGAUUCAAAAUAAAAAAUAUUAUAAAAAGCUAUUACACAUGUACCUCGUUUUAGGUUAAAGUUAUUUUCAUUCAUUGGAUUGAAAAAUAUUAAAAUCUAACCACCCAAAUAUACUGACUGUUUGUUACAGCAAAUGUAACAUAAGCUUUGCCCUCUAUCAAAUAUAAUAUAAUUUUAACUUUUAAUGAUGAUGAACUAGUUAAAGUACUAGCAGCCAGUGAUCUUAAAAAGUCAACUAAAGCAAAUUUUGUCGAAUUUGAAUAUUUUAUUACCGGACAAUGAUUUGUUGAUUAGUUGAAUGCUUGAUGUUUGUCGGGAUUUAAUUGUAUUUAACAAACCAAAUAAAAGAAAAAAUAAUAAAAAAAAGAGCAGCCCACUUCCGUUUUGAUUGAUUUGCUUAUACCAUCCCUCUCUUUCCAGUGAAUUAAGAUAAUCAUCUUAUAAAGCUCCUUUGGAGAUCCAUUCAUUAUACUUUAUAAGCAACAUUUGAAUAACCCUAACACUGACUUAUUUAAUAAUCCAUUAUGAGCUAAUAGUGUAUCAUCUCAAGAAUAACGUUUUAACUUUAAACAAUUAAAAAAAAAACUUUAAACAAUAAACCCAUCGUAUUAAUUCAAACAUUCUUGAUAAGUGAGACUUAGAUGUUUGAUGAUAGUUAUUGUUUAUAAAAAGUUUUAUGCGUUAUAUAUUGUAUAGAUACUCUUUGUUAAAAAUUUUACUACAGGUUUUUCUUCAUUAUUAAUUGUAUCAAAAUAAAUACAUGCACAAUAAAAAUCUAACAGAUGAGAGGUAUGCAAAUCUCAAUUUAAUUUUAUUUUUUGGAUGACUCGUAACUCGUAGGUUUAAGAGAGCAUAUAAAACAAAAAAGACACAUAAAUUAAAUUGACAUGAGUGAAUAAUUAACCCCUAGGCCUUAGGUAUUAAGCAAAGCAUAUAAAACAAACACAAGCCUUAAAAGUGGGAUUAAUUUGUCCCAGAAUCAAUAAAGAAAAAGAAAAGGGAGAUUUUACACCACCAUAUAUAUGUAGACAAAAUU
rnacentral:lncRNA from 1 species